rnacentral:rRNA from 12 species
CGGAUGAAGGGAGCUUGCUCCUGGAUUCAGCGGCGGACGGGUGAGUAAUGCCUAGGAAUCUGCCUGGUAGUGGGGGAUAACGUCCGGAAACGGGCGCUAAUACCGCAUACGUCCUGAGGGAGAAAGUGGGGGAUCUUCGGACCUCACGCUAUCAGAUGAGCCUAGGUCGGAUUAGCUAGUUGGUGGGGUAAAGGCCUACCAAGGCGACGAUCCGUAACUGGUCUGAGAGGAUGAUCAGUCACACUGGAACUGAGACACGGUCCAGACUCCUACGGGAGGCAGCAGUGGGGAAUAUUGGACAAUGGGCGAAAGCCUGAUCCAGCCAUGCCGCGUGUGUGAAGAAGGUCUUCGGAUUGUAAAGCACUUUAAGUUGGGAGGAAGGGCAGUAAGUUAAUACCUUGCUGUUUUGACGUUACCAACAGAAUAAGCACCGGCUAACUUCGUGCCAGCAGCCGCGGUAAUACGAAGGGUGCAAGCGUUAAUCGGAAUUACUGGGCGUA